rnacentral:rRNA from 1 species
AGAUUAAACAUAAGAGUUUGAUCCUGGCUCAGAUUGAACGCUGGCGGCAUGCUUUACACAUGCAAGUCGAACGGCAGCACGGAGAGCUUGCUCUCUGGUGGCGAGUGGCGAACGGGUGAGUAAUGCAUCGGAACGUACCGAGUAAUGGGGGAUAACUGUCCGAAAGGAUGGCUAAUACCGCAUACGCCCUGAGGGGGAAAGCGGGGGAUCUUAGGACCUCGCGUUAUUUGAGCGGCCGAUGUUGGAUUAGCUAGUUGGUGGGGUAAAGGCCUACCAAGGCGACGAUCCAUAGCGGGUCUGAGAGGAUGAUCCGCCACAUUGGGACUGAGACACGGCCCAAACUCCUACGGGAGGCAGCAGUGGGGAAUUUUGGACAAUGGGGGGAACCCUGAUCCAGCCAUGCCGCGUGUCUGAAGAAGGCCUUCGGGUUGUAAAGGACUUUUGUUAGGGAAGAAAAGCUUGGUGCUAAUACCACCUAGUGCUGACGGUACCUAAAGAAUAAGCACCGGCUAACUACGUGCCAGCAGCCGCGGUAAUACGUAGGGUGCGAGCGUUAAUCGGAAUUACUGGGCGUAAAGCGAGCGCAGACGGUUAAAUAAGUCAGAUGUGAAAUCCCCGAGCUCAACUUGGGACGUGCAUUUGAAACUGUAUAACUAGAGUGUGUCAGAGGGAGGUAGAAUUCCACGUGUAGC